UGGGGAAUAUUGCACAAUGGGCGCAAGCCUGAUGCAGCCAUGCCGCGUGUAUGAAGAAGGCCUUCGGGUUGUAAAGUACUUUCAGCGGGGAGGAAGGCGAUAAGGUUAAUAACCUUGUCGAGUGACGUUACCCGCAGAAGAAGCACCGGCUAACUCCGUGCCAGCAGCCGCGGUAAUACGGAGGGUGCAAGCGUUAAUCGGAAUUACUGGGCGUAAAGCGCACGCAGGCGGUCUGUCAAGUCGGAUGUGAAAUCCCCGGGCUCAACCGGGGAACUGCAUUCGAAACUGGCAGGCUAGAGUCUUGUAGAGGGGGGUAGAAUUCCAGGUGUAGCGGUGAAAUGCGUAGAGAUCUGGAGGAAUACCGGUGGCGAAGGCGGCCCCCUGGACAAAGACUGACGCUCAGGUGCGAAAGCGUGGGGAGCAAACA
rnacentral:rRNA from 1 species